UACGUAGGGUGCGAGCGUUGUCCGGAAUUACUGGGCGUAAAGGGCGCGUAGGCGGCCUGCUAAGUCGGACGUGAAAUCCCUCGGCUCAACCGGGGAACUGCGUCCGAUACUGGUGGGCUCGAAUCCGGGAGAGGGAUGUGGAAUUCCAGGUGUAGCGGUGAAAUGCGUAGAUAUCUGGAGGAACACCGGUGGCGAAGGCGGCAUCCUGGACCGGUAUUGACGCUGAUGCGCGAAAGCCAGGGGAGCAAACGGG
rnacentral:rRNA from 1 species